GGACAGGAUUUAUUCAUACAUUCAACACUAAGCUUUGGAAUAUAUUGACAGAUUCUUAUACUCUACUUUGUUUUCAGUAAAUCAAAUGUGGUACAGAUCAUUAAAUACCUGAGUCUAAAGAGCGACACACAUGAAAAUAAACAGUGACAGGAAAGUUAAACUACAAUCAAUGUUAGAAUGAAUCUAAUGCAUGCCUAGAUUUAUUUAUCAUAGAUGCUGGAAUCACAUAUUAUACAAAUGUUAGUUGCCAUGGCGCUGUUGGAGACGGCUGCCUCUCCAGUAGCUCUACAGUACCCAGUGCUUGAAUCGUUUAAACCUACUUUUUUUACCAAAGUGUACUUUUGUUUCUUUUCUUUUUUAUUGAUUUUUUAAUUUCCUUGAGGUAACCUUCCCAAAAGGAUAAAUGAAGUUUUAUUUAAUCUAAUCUGAUCUAAUCUAAUCUGAUAAAUGAGUUGUUCAAAUAUAAACCUGAAGGAGUCCUCCCAUACCACUGAAACACAAACACUUACAAACAGGAGACGAGUGACUCACACUUACACACACAGAGAGUGAUUCAAGCAAACAUGUGAAGAUCCUGGUCCUGUGUUUGUCUUCCACAUGACACGUUAAUGUGAGCAAAGCCACAGAAACUGAAAAAAGACAACUGAAACAAGACCUGUCUGAAAAACUGGGCGUGUUGAUUUGAACAAAUAACUGACUUUUUUUUUAUUGUUCGGUCAAAAGUGACAACUCUGAGGGGUCUAAAAGUAGAAAUUUACAUCGUCCACAAGUCAAAUGUUGACGGUCCUUUAUUUCUUAUAUCAAACUUGUAAAAAACAAAAAAGUUUAUAUUUUACUUCUUUUGACAAGACACUCCACAUACUUGGAACUGAGGAGACUCGGUUUUCUAAAAUGAAAUGUUGUCCCACUCUUGCCUGAUACUCCCUCUUGAUGAUUAAGGGUCUGAUGCAGCAAAUGAUCUGGGUCAGGCCAGUUCAGCACACACACUCUUUUACAUCGGGCCACAGAGCAGGAUGUUGUUUAGCAUCGUCUUGCUAAAAUAUGCAAGGUCAACCUUAAAAAAAAAAGCAUUGCCUGCAUGGGCAGCACACCAUGUUACCUCAAAAACACUUAAAUACCACGUGUUACUUGCCCAUAUUUAACCAGCCUCUUACCAUCAUGGAUUCUGGCUUUAAACUGCACUAGUAACAAGUUCAAGCUGGGUGGUCCCUCUCUUCUCUAGAGUCAAGGACACGAGAGUUGUUCUUCCAAAAAUUUUGCCAAAUUUUGAUUUGUCAGACCACAGGACAGUUUUCCACAUCGCUGCGGUCAUAUGUUAUCGUUGGAUUAGUGCACCCGAAGACAACAUAUGACCUCAGUGAAAUAUGGAGUUGAAAUAAUUUGCAAACCAUUUCAUUCAUUCCUUUUUUUAUUUUUAUCAACUUACACAGGGUCCCUUCUGUUUGGAAGUGAGGUUGAAUAAAUGUAGCAAACCACACAGGUGCAGAGUCAUCUAUAGUGAACUGAAACAAACUAUUUUAUACUAUUUAAACUGAGACAGUAAUAGUAACACCUCAGCUGCACAAUGUCCAGAUGUCUCCCAGAUAACUGCAUGCCUCUUUUUCCCCCACAAGGUGGCAGAAGAGUUCUAAUACUGCAGCUUCGGCUCUGAGAAACACCUACAACUUGAUCUUUGUAGCUGACAUGCCCGUCUGUACAUCAACUUUUUUGAUGUACAAAGAUUAAAUUUCUGAAAAGUGAUAACAUUUGAAAAACAUUUGCUCAGAGUGAUCAGUUAAAAUCUGACCAGCUGUGGACUUAUUAGACGUCAAGCUCUUUUUGACUUUGCGCCAAAAUGUGAUUUCAUCCAGAGAGUUCUUUGAAAGCAUCCCAAGACACUGACGGUUCGAGCAAAAUUCCUGAGAAAAGUUAUUCUGCCUCAAGAGAAAAAAAGGGACGAUGGUGUUUUAGUUACAGACGAGGUGGCUGUGAACAUGUUUUUUUUGUAGAAUUUUGUGUUUGUGUGUGUUUACAGAAGAAAUCUAAGGAUAAAUCUUGUCUUUGUCCUUAAGGGUGAUCUUGUGAAACUUCUCAAGUUUCCUGUUCUACUCUGUUGCUGGUGUGAUCCUGUUGCAGAACAGAGACGAACAUUUCUGGAGUCUUUUCAUUCUGUUUUCAUUUUCUCAAAGAAAAAAAGCCAAAACAAAUCACAGCAUGCACACGGAAACUUGGUGGUCAUUUCUGUUUUCAGGCUAACGGCCCUGGAUGCCUGAGUGACACGUCUCCUAAGUGCUAUUCAGUAAAUUUAAAAACAAUACGACUCAUAAACAUGUUACCAUUCAGUCUGGUUACAGUAACAGUGACCAGAGGUUGACCUCCACUGAAGCAUUAAACCAUGGUCAUUCCUAAUCCCUGACAUCAUCACGGGGACACACACACCCACACGCACACACACACACACACCAGACAAAACUGUACAGUAAACACACACUUGACCCCGCUGACACAUAAUCACAGCUGAGGAAAAAGUAAAAGCGAACAACAAUCGUUGACUCGGGUCAAAGAGGAAAGGCUACAGGGAAUAAAAGAAUGAGUGCGGAGUGAGAGGUGGUGCAAGGGUGGAGGAGCGGAGCGGUGGGAUCCAGGGCGGGUGAAGGUUAGAGUAACUAAUAUAAAACAGCUCCUCACUUUUAUGGAACUUUGAGGAGUUUCAAGAAAAAAAAACCCUUUAAUGCCUUUUGUAUCAUAUUUGACACAUGCUUUUAUAUACUUCGAUCAAAUCAAUAUGAUCAACAAAUUACUAAAAAACACCUGAAUACAGUGUGAUGAUAAAUUAUAAAAAUGUCCUCUUGUAGUUUAUCAGUUUCCAAAAUCAUCUAAUGUAUCAAACGAGAUAAAUAAACAUAUUUGUUGAAUUUUAAGGACAUUUUAAUUCUUUUGGUUUUCAGUUGUAAAUGAAAUAAACAUUUCAGCUCCAAAAAAAUAUGUAUUUUUUUGGCCAUAAUUUGUGGUUUCAGGUAUUAAAGGGUUAAACAGAGCAAAUAAAUUGGCUGGAAGGAAUCAAGUGUUAGCAUGAGAACCAAGACUUGGUUUUCCCCAGUUUUCCUUCCCUCUUAAAACAUCUCCAUUUAUGAAUAUUUGACCUCUCCUUUCUCCUUUAAUCUUCAGCUUGUUUCUCUCCUCGUCCGCUAUCCACUCCAACUCUCUCUCUGUCCAGACGAACUCAUAACAAAUGAGCGCGAUAAUUAGAACCACAAAGACUCUAAGGGGGAGGGAAGGGAGAUUUUUAGGAGUUGGGAGAGGGGGGAGUUAAAGGACAAAAGGAAUAGAGUGUGAGUAAUACAGGAGUCUGAGUGCAACUGCCCAGGCAUCUGGAGGUUCAGUCUCAUCUACACAAGCCUGACACACACACACACACACAGACGUACACACACACCACUUUAACCUGUAAAUGCUGUAAAUACAAAAAUCCCCAUCAUGGUGGAGGGAUGUGUGUUGGCAGGAUUCUGAGUCAUGAUUUGUGUCUCCAGAUUCCAGUAAAAUGCAGCUUUACCCAGGAAGAAUAGACGAUUAACAAAUGUCUGGGGAACAUUUUGACAUACAUACACAACACACACACAACACACACAGUCAUACAGGCCAAACUGAGGCUUCUCUUAUUCAAGCGUUCACACAGGCUGGCCCGGUCUUGCCUUUAAGGACAUUUACCCACAUUUUCCUGGUAGGAUUUUGGCAAGCAGGGAGAUAUGGUAAUAUGACAUUCUCUGGUAUUCCACUUUCAGUCUCCUCUCUCUUUUCACUUCCUCUUGCUUAUCUUCUCUCUGCCUUCUUGCCUCCCUCUGUUUUUGCCUCUCACUUCCAUGACGGUUGUUAAACGCUGCCAUCUCCUCUGCUCUAAUCAAACCCACAUGGUUUGGUGGGACAGCAUGCCAGCAGUACACUGCGCUGCACACACCUUUGGCUUUGUGCUCGCUGUUUGUGUGGGAUCUGCACAACAGAGUAGCUCCAAAAAACUUCUGUCUGAUAAGCUUUAAAAAAAUCUCUUGCAACUUUCUGUUUGUGACUUUGAACUAUAGGUGAUCCCCGUGUGUCAGACAGUGAAUUUAAAACUAUCCAACAGGAAAAAAAGCAAGGAUUAAAAAAAGAAACCCACUUAGUGUCAGAUUUCUUCUUUUCUUUUCCUUCUCACUUAAUCUCCUGGACCUUUAAGAUUUAUCCUCGACCCCACAGGGAGGUCCUGAACCCCCCCGCUGACACAAAAGUAAAUCACAAGAGAAAACUACUGUAAUUUGUGGCAACUAAGACUGCGUGCGUAUGUACAUCUUGCACAGUUGCUUCCUCUGAGGGUAAAGGUCAGUGAUAAUGACUUCCAGGAGUUGGGAAGGACAGGGUCAAGUUCACAUCUGGGAUUACAGGGGUUACUGGGGUGAGCGGCUUUUACUGGAGGUCAUCUGGAUGAUAAAGUGGAGAAUGCCACUGAAGUGUGACUUUACCACAGUCUGAUUACACACACUUUCACACGCACAGGCUUGAACUUGUGCAGACAAGUAGGUCCUUUUAAAAACUUGAGAUUGAAACACAACAAGGACACAAUUCAGCUUAACAUUCAAAAAGUAUCACGUGAAGUGUUAGCUUAAGUGAGCAGUUUCUGAGUUUCCCAUUCUUCAGAUAAGCUCUCUUUGGGACAAUAAAUGGUCUGUAGACAGUCUGGAUGCUACACAGAUAUGGUUCAAAUCUGUGUCAUUUGAAUGUGGAGAGGAAAUAGGAAACAAUAAGCAGCACAGACGGAAGUGAAAGAGUAGAUAUUGUCCGGUUCCCCCAGUGGGAAUGUUGAUAUAAGAUAUAAGACUGUGAUCUGAACUCCAACAAUAAAAAGAGACGGGGAGGAAAAUACUUUACCUUAUUGUACGACUGUUUUCUGAGGAAAGUAAAAUGCUUUUUUUAAAAACUAUAAAGAUGAACAUCAAUGGAUAAAUACUAACCCAAAACCUAAACGAACCAAGCGCCUGCUUGGGGCCCCGCGGCCAAUAGGGGGCCCCCAAGAGCAAUAAAAAAAAAAAAGAGUAAAUAUUUUUUGUUAUUUGCCUGUAUGAGUGAUGCUUUCUGUUUGAUCAAAUAUAUAUCACUGUAAAAAUAAAAUAAGUAAAAACAUUUUAGUGCUGCUGUUGAUGUUGAUUCUCACUGCUGACAUGUCAAAGCUCUGCGACCGUUAUGUGCCUCCUGCUGUGCAAUGUGCACUGAGCAUCCAAAGUGCAGGAAGUUGUGGGGCAAAACAAUGUCGCAAAAAAGGACAUAUCCUCCAGGAGAAAAGAAAGAGGAAGAAGAGAAAAAAACGCCAAGAUGAAGGUAUGUUUGCAUGUCAUGGAAUGUUAAAGAGAUUUGUGAAGGUGUGUAAAUGAUCAUGAAUCAAUAUUAAUGACAGAAACAGAGGGCCCCAAAAUCAAAUUUUGCUCAGGGCCCCAUUGAGGCUUGGGCAGGCUCUGAGUUUUAGCAUACAAGGCCAGUAAGUUCUUCAUCUCCCAAUAAAAUUUUCCAACUCUUUACUGUAACCCCAAAAGUGUCACAAAGGCGUGGGCUCUUGUUCAGUCUUUCUAAGUUAGAGGUGCUUGGAAAACCUUGAGAAGUGAGACGUGUCCAAGACUAAACUUUACCUGGCUCACCUGUUUCAUGUAAAACAGUGGACAAUAGUUUCUACAACCUGAUGCAGUCAGUUAAAAGUUAAAGCUCAUGACCAUAGAGUACAGAUCAACUGGCACAUUGAAAGCUAAGGUAUUUUCUUGCAGCGAUACCUUAUCACCGCUGAUGCUGCAUUAUUCCAAGUGCUGAUCUCUCAUUAUAUCCACAGUUGUGAGUAAGACCCCAUGAUACUUCAACUCCAUCGUACCAAACCUCAAGGGAACAAUCCACCAUUUGUCAGCAGAGGACGAGAGGCCUCACACUUGCAGACACUGACUCCCAUCCUGACUGUUACAUCCUGGUCUACAGCCAACUAAGUGCCAACUCAAAGUUGCAUCUUAAUACACCAAAAGAAUAUCAUCAGCACAGAGCAGGUAUUAUUAUGGGGCCCCCAUGAUGGACAGUCCCCUCAACCUCUGCUGGUUGGGACUUAAUUGGAGGAAAGAGACAGCUCUAGUGGAGGACAACACUUAAUAUGAAUGUGUUGACAGGAGGAGCAAAUCUGAGUAAAUUACCCAGCGGCUCUACCAGAGUAAAGAGUUUGUCUGCUGCUCCAAUGUCUAGAUGGAACCUGAAUUGUUCCUCCUGUAUGGGGCCCAGUCAACGUGAAAGUAAAAAGCAUUGGUGCUACUGUAGAUGCCAACAGACGACCAGCAAAUACAAUGUUUGCAGGACUUCUACAACUGGGAUUAAGUGACAUAGUCCGGGACCCAAGGUCAACAGUUUAGUGGCGCUACAACACGCAACAGGUCCUGUUUGACAAGAAACACUUCUGUUACAGACACUUGGCUUACUUUGUUAAAGCAGUUUACCUGUCCAGCAGAAAGGUUACAGAGUCUGUAAGAUCCCGAGGCCUCCGCCAUUGUUUAUGCUGAUGUUGAUCCUGCUUUUUAGCUCCUGUCCAAUCUACCUCAGUUUUAAGUGCCUGUUAUUCCGCCAGAGUCUCUGGUAUUUAUUUCGUUUUAUUGCUUGUGUUUUCCUUACUUUCUGGUUGUUUUUUUUACUGUCCGGUGUUGUAACUCGCUAACUUUGUUUGGACUCGUGAACGUUAUUUGAGGACGUGGAGCGUGCCUCACAACACGAGGGAGCAGCGCCUGCCUCACAACCGAUCCGGUUGAGGGAGGUGGAGGCGUUUUGUUUACAGUCAGAAAGAAAAAAAUGUAAAAUGUUGACUACACAGACAUAAUAAAACACUGCAAUACUGUGAUAAUCCCAAAUGUCA